rnacentral:sRNA from 1 species
UAUACAGCAUAGUGCCAUAAAUGAGUCAACUUUUUUAAUGGCGAUUGGUGAUGAUUUUCGUUGUCCGACUUUUAAGAACGUCAUUAUCGAUGUUGUGUAACGUAAAAUCAAUAACAUGUGUUCAAAGGGGAAUUACUCGAACUAAACUUUGUAAAUACGGAUUUUUAAACCGGAAUCGUAGCGAAGUUUAGCCAUUGUUGAUAUCAACAAAAAUGGCGAAGCACGGGAAAGAAUUGUCAGACGACACCAAAAAGGCUAUCAUAAGUUUAAUUGAAAGUGGUCAUCGAGCAAGUAGUGUUGCGAAAAGCUUAGGAAUAGCUAAAUCUACAAUUUCCAGGCUUUUGAAGCGUUGGCGGAUGCGUGGUGAUACUGAAAAUGUUCCUCGAAGCGGAAGGAGAAAAACUGUCACCAAACGGGCAGAAAACACUCUGUCACGGAUUGUGAAAACGUCUCGCCGUUCAACCCUUAAGGAUAUCACCAAGGAAUUUAACACUCGCACACCUGUUAAAGUGUCUAGACGAACUGUUCAACGAAAAUUGCAUGAACUAGGGUACACCAGACGAUCUGUACGGAAGAAAAUUGGCAUCAGGGUUGUUAAUCAAAAGAAAAGAGUGGCUUAUUGCAGGAGUAAACUUCAUUGGACUGUGAACAAUCAGUGGAAAAAAGUGAUAUUUACAGAUGAGAUGAUGAUGGUGAUCAAACCUGACGGAACACUUAAAGUUUGGAGGAAGUCAAAUGAAAUUUGGAGACCUGAAUGUCUGGGAUAUGUUGCACAGCGACCGUCCACCAAUCUUAAAAUUAUGGUCUGGGGAUGUAUAACAUAUUAUGGAGUUGGUACUUUAGCUAUGAUAAAUGGUAAUAUGAACUCUGUCAAGUAUAUUGAAACACUGGACGAUAAUUUAUGGCAAGUUGUAACCAAACAUUUUGGCAAUGAACCUUAUCUUUUUCAAGAUGAUAAUGCACCCUGUCAUCGGUCAAGGGUUGUAGAAGAAUGGAAAAGGCAAAACCAGAUACCGCAAGUUACCUGGCCUGCACAAUCACCAGACUUGAGCCCAAUCGAAAAUGUAUGGCUUCUGAUGAAAAAUAAAAUAAAAAAUAGACUUUAUCUGGUUCGUAACGUUGAAGACCUUAAGUCUGAAUUACUGCGUGCCUGGUUAGAAGUACCAUUAUUUUAUAUUCAGGGGCUUUAUUCAAGCCUACCACGUCGUUGCAGACAAGUUCUUGUUCAGAAGGGUGGCAUAACAAAAUAUUAAAAGUAUAAAACUUGUUUUGUGAGGUUAGUUUUUAUUCAAAGUUCAUUCAACAUUUUUGUUAUUUUUGGCAUCCAUUAAAAAAGUUGACUCAUUUAUGGCACUAUGCUGUA